rnacentral:rRNA from 1 species
CCAGCAGCCGCGGUAAUUCCAGCUCCAAUAGUAUAUAUUAGUGUUGUUGCAGUUAAAACGCUCGUAGUUGGAUUUUGGGUCUGUCUGCGUGGUCCGCCGCAAGGUGUGCACUGCCUGGGGAGAUCUUCCUUUCACAGGGCGGCAUGCUCUUCACGGGGUGUGUCGUUUUAUGUGGAAACUUUACUUUGAAUAAAUAAGAGUGUUCAAAGCAGGCCUUCGCUUGAAUACAUUAGCAUGGAAUAAUGAAAUAGGACUUUGGUUCUAUUUUGUUGGUUUCUAGGACCGAAGUAAUGAUUAAUAGGGAUAGUUGGGGGCAUUAGUAUUUAAUUGUCAGAGGUGAAAUUCUUGGAUUUAUGAAAGACUAACUUCUGCGAAAGCAUUUGCCAAGGAUGUUUUCAUUAAUCAAGAACGAAAGU